rnacentral:tRNA from 1 species
AAGUCUUUAGUACGGCUCUAGGAUUGAAAAUCCUUAUGUUGGUGGUUCGAUUCCGCCCCGGGCCACCA